UUCGCAAUGCCCGAAAGGGUGACGAAGCGACGCCGCGUGCGGGAAGAAGGCCUUCGGGUUGUAAACCGCUGUCGGGAGUUAAGAAAUGUAAGGAUGUUAAUAGCGUCUUUGCUUGACUAAGGCUCCGGAGGAAGCCACGGCUAACUCUGUGCCAGCAGCCGCGGUAAUACAGAGGCGGCAAGCGUUGUUCGGAAUUAUUGGGCGUAAAGAGCACGUAGGCGGCUAAGUAAGUCGGUUGUGGAAGCCUUCCGCUCAACGGGAGAACAGCAUCCGAUACUGCAUGGCUUGAGUGCGGGAGGGGAGAGUGGAACUUCUGGUGGAGCGGUGAAAUGCGUAGAUAUCAGAAGGAACGCCGGCGGCGAAAGCGGCUCUCUGGCCCAUAACUGACGCUGAGUGUGCGAAAGCUAGGGGAGCAAACGGGAUUAGAUACCCCGGUAGUCCUAGCCGUAAACGAUGGGCACUAAGUAGAGGGGUUUU
rnacentral:rRNA from 1 species